GCUGGGCGUGGUGGCGGGCGCCUGUGAUCCCAGCUACUUGGGAGGCUGAGGCAGGAGAAUUGCUUGAACCCAGGAGGCGGAAGUUGCAGUGAGC
rnacentral:miRNA from 1 species